rnacentral:rRNA from 1 species
UACGAAGGGGGGCUAGCGUUGCUCGGAAUCACUGGGCGUAAAGCGCACGUAGGCGGGUUGCUAAGUCAGGGGGUGAAAUCCUGGAGCUCAACUCCAGAACUGCCCUUGAUACUGGCGGCCUUGAGUCCGGGAGAGGUGAGUGGAACUGCGAGUGUAGAGGUGAAAUUCGUAGAUAUUCGCAAGAACACCAGUGGCGAAGGCGGCUCACUGGCCCGGUACUGACGCUGAGGUGCGAAAGCGUGGGGAGCAAACAGG